GUGAGGAAUUUUCCGCAAUGGGCGAAAGCCUGACGGAGCAAUGCCGCGUGAAGGAUGAAGGCCUAUGGGUUGUAAACUUCUUUUCUCAGAAAAGAAUUAUGACGGUAUCUGAGGAAUAAGCAUCGGCUAACUCUGUGCCAGCAGCCGCGGUAAGACAGAGGAUGCAAGCGUUAUCCGGAAUGAUUGGGCGUAAAGCGUCUGUAGGUUGUUUAAAAAGUAUUCUGUCAAAGAUUAGGGCUUAACCCUAGAUAGGCAGAAUAAACUUUUAAGCUAGAGUUUGGUAGAGGCAGAGGGAAUUCCCGGUGGAGCGGUGAAAUGCGUAGAUAUCGGGAGGAACACCAAAGGCGAAGGCACUCUGCUGGGCCAAUACUAACACUGAGAGACGAAGGCGAGGGGAGAAAAUGGGAUUAGAAACCCUUGUAGUCC
rnacentral:rRNA from 1 species